rnacentral:rRNA from 1 species
UACGAGGGGAGCAAGCGUUGUUCGGAUUUACUGGGCGUAAAGGGCGCGUAGGCGGCCACCGCAAGUCGACUGUGAAAUCUCCGGGCUUAACCCGGAAAGGUCAGCCGAUACUGCGGGGCUAGAGUGCAGAAGGGGCAACUGGAAUUCUCGGUGUAGCGGUGAAAUGCGUAGAUAUCGAGAGGAACACCUGCGGCGAAGGCGGGUUGCUGGGCUGACACUGACGCUGAAGCGCGAAAGCUAGGGGAGCGAACGGG